AUGCUCGCUUCAGCAGCACAUGUACUAAAGGUGGAACAAUACAGAGAACAUUAGCAUGGCCCCUGUGCAAGGAUGACAGGCAAAUUCAUGAAGCAUUCCAUAACAAA
ensembl:snRNA U6 U6 spliceosomal RNA